GUGCUCGGGGCUCUGGCUGCUGUGGCUCUGAUUGGUGUCAUCAUCUACAAAGUGAAGAGAUGGGCAUUUAAAGACACUGCAGAUGGAAAGGGGUCCCAACCUGAGGAUGAAGAUGGCACAUACGCAGCCCUAGACCCCAAGACCACAAGCCCUGCAGAGUAUGAUGCUCUCACUAGGGUGAAGAAACCACGCCAGGGAGACUAAAGCCAGUGGAUUCUCCUGCACAUGCUCAGCUUUCUGCACUAUCCUGAUGUGGACGACCCCUCAAGUCUGUCGCUGAAAUCAUGCAUUACAAUGUCUAUGGGUUAUUGGACACAGCCUGAGUAGAGAAUGGGAAUGGGAAUUCUGUUUGUUAUGCUAGUGU